UACGUAGGGUGCAAGCGUUGUUCGGAAUCAUUGGGCGUAAAGCGCGUGUAGGCGGUUAUUUAAGUCGAUUGUGAAAUCCCUGGGCUCAACCGAGGAAGUGCAGUCGAAACUGAAUAGCUAGAGGAUGGCAGAGGAAGGUGGAAUUCCAAGUGUAGAGGUGAAAUUCGUAGAUAUUUGGAGGAAUACCUGUGGCGAAGGCGGCCUUCUGGACCAUUCCUGACGCUGAGACGCGAAAGCGUGGGG
rnacentral:rRNA from 1 species